GCGAUAAGUAAUGGGAAUUGCAGAAUCCAGUGAAUCAUCGAAUCUUUGAACGCACAUUGCGCCCGUCAGUAUUCUGGCGGGCAUGCCUGUUCGAGCGUCAUUACGCCC
rnacentral:rRNA from 1 species